rnacentral:rRNA from 1 species
UACGGAGGGUGCAAGCGUUAUCCGGAUUCACUGGGUUUAAAGGGUGCGUAGGCGGGCUGAUAAGUCAGCGGUGAAAGCCCCAAGCUUAACUUGGGAAUUGCCAUUGAUACUGCCAGUCUUGAAUACGGUUGAGGUAGGCGGAAUAUAGCAUGUAGCGGUGAAAUGCUUAGAUAUGCUAUAGAACACCGAUUGCGAAGGCAGCUUACUAAGCCGUUAUUGACGCUGAGGCACGAAAGCGUGGGGAGCAAACAGG